UUUCGUACUUGGUCCUAAAGUAAAAUACAAAUUUGAGGGGUGGCUGGCGAUUUGAAGACUGUGCUCCUUCUUCCAUUUUAACGAUGUGGCUCACCAAGUCACAGAGUUCUCAAAUUCUAGGUCAUUGUGUUGAACAUAGUGUGCUUUACCGAAUGCGUAUCGUCAAUAAUAUAUUUUCAAGUUUGUUAGUUCUAGCCGUCUUAUACAAGGUCUUCUUCUGGGUAGUAUUACUUUGUGUGGGGUCUGUGUUGCCGAGGACUCGUCAUAUCACAUCCUGGGGCUAUUCUACAGGUAAAUUUUUUGCUUCACAUAUCUGAAAAUGAAAAAAUGAUCAAAU